rnacentral:rRNA from 1 species
GAUGAACGCUGGCGGCGUGCCUAAUACAUGCAAGUCGAGCGAACAGACGAGGAGCUUGCUCCUCUGACGUUAGCGGCGGACGGGUGAGUAACACGUGGAUAACCUACCUAUAAGACUGGGAUAACUUCGGGAAACCGGAGCUAAUACCGGAUAAUAUAUUGAACCGCAUGGUUCAAUAGUGAAAGACGGUUUUGCUGUCACUUAUAGAUGGAUCCGCGCCGCAUUAGCUAGUUGGUAAGGUAACGGCUUACCAAGGCAACGAUGCGUAGCCGACCUGAGAGGGUGAUCGGCAACACUGGAACUGAGACACGGUCCAGACGCCUACGGGAGGCAGCAGUAGGGAAUCUUCCGCAAUGGGCGAAAGCCUGACGGAGCAACGCCGCGUGAGUGAUGAAGCUCUUCGGAUCGUAAAACUCUGUUAUUAGGGAAGAACAAAUGUGUAAGUAACUAUGCACGUCUUGACGGUACCUAAUCAGAAAGCCACGGCGAACUACGU